rnacentral:rRNA from 1 species
GGUCCUACGGGGGGCAGCAGUGGGGGAUAUUGCACAAUGGGGGGAACCCUGAUGCAGCGACGCCGCGUGGGUGAAGGAGCGUUUCGGCGCGUAAAGCCCUAUCGGCAGGGAAGAAGAUGACGGUACCUGACCAAGAAGCCCCGGCUAACUACGUGCCAGCAGCCGCGGUAAUACGUAGGGGGCAAGCGUUGUCCGGAAUGACUGGGCGUAAAGGGAGUGUAGGCGGCUUAUCAAGUUAGA